GGGUAGUUUGACUGGGGCGGUCUCCUCCCAAAGAGUAACGGAGGAGCACGAAGGUUAGCUAAUCACGGUCGGACAUCGUGAGGUUAGUGCAAAGGCAUAAGCUAGCUUGACUGCGAGAGUGACGGCUCGAGCAGGUACGAAAGUAGGUCUUAGUGAUCCGGUGGUUCUGAAUGGAAGGGCCAUCGCUCAACGGAUAAAAGGUACUCCGGGGAUAACAGGCUGAUACCGCCCAAGAGUUCAUAUCGACGGCGGUGUUUGGCACCUCGAUGUCGGCUCAUCACAUCCUGGGGCUGAAGUAGGUCCCAAGGGUAUGGCUGUUCGCCAUUUAAAGUGGUACGCGAGCUGGGUUUAGAACGUCGUGAGACAGUUCGGUCCCUAUCUGCCGUGGGCGUUGGAAGAUUGAGAGGGGUUGCUCCUAGUACGAGAGGACCGGAGUGAACGCACCACUGGUGUUCGGGUUGUCAUGCCAAUGGCAUUGCCCGGUAGCUAAGUGCGGAAAAGAUAAGCGCUGAAAGCAUCUAAGC
rnacentral:rRNA from 1 species